UACGUAGGGACCAAGCGUUGUUCGGAUUUACUGGGCGUAAAGGGCGCGUAGGCGGCUUGACAAGUCACUUGUGAAAUCUCCGGGCUUAACUCGGAACGGCCAAGUGAAACUGUCAUGCUAGGGUGCAGAAGGGGCAAUCGGAAUUCUUGGUGUAGCGGUGAAAUGCGUAGAUAUCAAGAGGAACACCUGAGGUGAAGACGGGUUGCUGGGCUGACACUGACGCUGAGGCGCGAAAGCCAGGGGAGCAAACGGG
rnacentral:rRNA from 1 species